UUUGGUGGCGAUAGCGAAGAGGUCACACCCGUUCCCAUACCGAACACGGAAGUUAAGCUCUUCAGCGCCGAUGGUAGUCGGGGGUUUC
rnacentral:rRNA from 1 species